UACGAAGGGGGCUAGCGUUGUUCGGAAUUACUGGGCGUAAAGCGCACGUAGGCGGAUUGUUAAGUCAGGGGUGAAAUCCUGGAGCUCAACUCCAGAACUGCCUUUGAUACUGGCGAUCUUGAGUUCGGGGAGAGGUCGAGUGGAACUGCGAGUGUAAGAGGUGAAAUUCGUAGAUAUUCGCAAGAACACCAGUGGCGAAGGCGGACUCACCUGGCC
rnacentral:rRNA from 1 species